rnacentral:rRNA from 1 species
GACGAACGCUGGCGGCGUGCUUAACACAUGCAAGUCGAACGGAGUGGCGAACGGGUGAGUAACACGUGGGUGAUAUGCCUUGCACUUCGGGAUAAGCUUGGGAAACUGGGACCAAAACCGGAUAGUGCAAGAUGAGCUCGGGGCCAAUCAGCUUGUUGGUGGGGGAAUGGCCUACCAAGGCGUCGACGGGUAGCCGGCCUGAGAGGGUGUACCGCCACAUUGGGACUGAGAGACGGCCCAGAGGCGUACGGGAGGCAGCAGUGGGGAAGAUUGCACAAUGGUCGGAAGCCUGAUGCAGCGACGCCGCGUGGGGGAUGAAGGCCUUCGGGUUGUAAACGCCUUUCGACAGGGACGCGGUACCUGUAGAAGAAGCACCGGCUAACUACGUGCCAGCAGCCGCGGUAAUUC